UGGCUCAGAACGAACGCUGGCGGCAGGCUUAACACAUGCAAGUCGAGCGCCCCGCAAGGGGAGCGGCAGACGGGUGAGUAACGCGUGGGAAUCUACCCAUCUCUACGGAACAACUCCGGGAAACUGGAGCUAAUACCGUAUACGUCCUUCGGGAGAAAGAUUUAUCGGAGAUGGAUGAGCCCGCGUUGGAUUAGCUAGUUGGUGGGGUAAUGGCCUACCAAGGCGACGAUCCAUAGCUGGUCUGAGAGGAUGAUCAGCCACACUGGGACUGAGACACGGCCCAGACUCCUACGGGAGGCAGCAGUGGGA
rnacentral:rRNA from 1 species